UAUGAUGAUUCUGUAUGUCUCAUGGGAGCUCCAAGUGAUCGGCUACAAACUCUGGUUGAUGUCUCUUUAAAACCAGUUUGCUGUGCUCCUGAAGACUGUCCUCCAAGCAAAGAACUGGGCCACCCGUCUCUGCUUCCAUGCCUUGCAUGGAAGUCCAUGGUAGUCCAUCUCAAUGAGCAGGAAAGUACGGCCUGUAUGGAUGAAGGAUCUCCUGACUGACCUCAGCCAUCGAGAUGACUACUCUCGCGUUUGGAGAAGGUGAUCUUUGAAAAUGACACAGAAGAGCUGCUGGAAAAGAAAAUAUCCUUUAUGUUAAAUGCUGUCUCAGAUUAUAAUGUGCUGUCACGUUAUAGCCUUGCAUCUGUCAAAGAUUUUUUGUCCUCCUCUCACUAACUGAUGCACUUAGACUGCAUAUUUUCACAACUACUCAUUUCUUAUUGUAUGUCUAUCCUGAACUUAGAUUCUGAUUGAGAGAAAUGCACUAUUUAUUGCAACUGAGACAAAUAACAAUUCAUAUUUUGAACACAAAAAGCUUUAUUCUAAACACCACUCUCAGAACAUCUCAGUACAGCACUUCAAAGUUUGGAGGAACUUUUGACUUCCAUUUCUCUGUGCCUCUAUUAAAUGCCAUCCUUUAUCUUUCAAGAGUUUGUGAAGUUAAAUUAAUUAGUCACUGUGAAGCCCUUAGAGACAGUGGUGAGUGAUAAAUGAGACAGAAAAGUCUGUGAGAUAACCAUUUAUCUUCUGAAAUGCUUUGAACAGUGAGAAACAAAUAAGAUUGGUGCCACACACAGAAUAAAAAGCAUACCAGAAGUGUCGGGCAGGUUUUUGUGAGUCUGCUUAACCUUGGCACUGAAAGAGGCAAGGAUCCUUUGUCAGACAAUGAGAAACAUCAGUGCUGCAAGGAAAAAUACAUUUCAUUAAUGUCACAGAACAUAUUUGCCAUAGAACUAUGGUACUGUAACCACAGCAGCUUUCCCAGGUAUUUUGUUACAUCCCUCUUUACAGAAACAAAGCUUAGCUGUAAGUCUAAGUUAGCAGCUUAAAAUAUGAACACUAUCCCUUGUUGUCUUUCAUGGAAAUCAGAUUAUUUAGAGCUAGAUUUUCUGUUCUGCUCUUUCUAAAAGAUGGGGUAUGUAUUUAUAAUUCAACAACUGCCAUUCUGACAGCAGAGAAACUUCUAUCUGCUUCAGAUUUAGAAUGAAUGAACUUUAAAGCCAAGGAUGUAAUCCAUUCAGUGAAAAAUUUGCAGUGGUCAAACCCCAGCUGUAACCAUGGAAUUCUGUGGUUUUACAGCACAGUGAGACUGAAACAGAUGGGAUGAGUUGGUGAGCAUAAACCUCUGGACCUUUGGCACCUCUCAAACCUGUUUCUGCCUCUGACACUAUUCUGUGAGUUCUUUUCACAACUUCUCUUCAAGUUAGAAAUCUUCUUUUCCCGUGUGUGGUUUUUGUGCUGUUUCUCUUUCCUCUGCACUAUUUAUUUCGCAGAUAUCUUUUCCAAGAGUACAUCUCCUUUCAGCUUUCUUUUGUUGAGCUAAGUGAGAUAAACUCUUAAACUGCCCCACAUAAAAUGGACUUCCUGUUCUUUUGAGAAUGCUCUUUUUCCUAUUCCUGCAUUUUGAACUCAGUGUUUUGAUAAGGCUGGUCAGAACUGUAGUCUAGAGAAUACAGUGACACCAGAAUUUCCUGAUGGCCAUCUGGAAAACACAUACUGGCACUAGAAACUCUGCACUAUUAGCAAAAGGCAUCUGUAGUACACAAGGCUUUACAGAUAUUAUAAAUUUAACACGCUUAUAUCUUUUUCCUCUUCUGGUAUUCCAGAAGAGAUGAGUUAGGUUGGGAGCAAAAUUGAUGGGAGCACUGGAAGCUGGAACUGGAUCUAAAGUCUUCACUUCAGAGCUACAGCAAUUCAUUCUUUAUUGCAAACAAACAAACCAACAAAAACAAACAAAAAACACCCCAAAAGCCAAAAAGAGUACAAAACCAUGUAAUCUAGAGGAAUAUUCUGUAAUAAUUAAAGUUCCUCAUAAAUUAUGAUUACUGCCCUUUCAUACUAUGAGCAAAAUUGUAAAAAUGGAAUCGGCUUACAAGAAGCCAGUGCCAUUUCCACUGAAUGCACCAGAGGGGUGAGGAUGGAAGAAGUGGCCUUGCCCAGCUGUGCCUGGGGCAGGAAUGCUGCCGCCCAGCUGUCUGGCAGCCCCGGGGACAGUCUGGGAGAGAAGCCAAGCGUGGCUCUGUGCUGAGGGCUGCAGGAGUAACUGCAGUAUCCUUCCUGUGCCACUCUUCAGUCACCAUCACAGGAAGUUUACAGUUUUCCUCGAUGCCAUUUAUCCCAUUGAAAUCUAUUUCUCUGAGUAGUGACAUGCAAUUAAAGAAGACUUUAUCUAGCAGGAAAAAAGGAACAUUUGCGCUUGCGCUCACUCUCUUCCACCUCCAUCUGACAACUGGACCAGGCACUUGGUGGUGGGACAAAGGGAAUGAAAAUGCAAUACUUAGAGGUAUCUGGAGCCUGUGCAUUCAACUUUUAAAUGUGACAGGAUCAAAAAUAAUUUCUCAUUUAAUAUAGUAAGCAUCUGGUUGACAUAUCAGGUGUUUUGCAGUCCGUAAGACAUUGUUAAAAAUGUAACCAGCCAUGGAGUUUUCAGGAGGAAUCAGUAUAUAUGACAUGUUCCGGUAGAUGACAGAAAUAAAUCCUUUACAUACAAUGUCAAAGGCAGAAAUCUUCAGCCUACGCAGUCACAAUGAAAAGCAGGAUGAUCCUAGGUGAAAAGAUAUUUUUAAGUCUGUACUACUGUUAAGAUUACACAAUCACCCAUUUGGCUUAUGAAAACUGAAGGUACAGAGAUGAGAAGACCAAGGAAAAGGAUCAGGUCUUCACAGCUUCUAGUUUGUUACAGGCAGCAAAAUACUGUUUGAAAAGACCAUAUAGGUAGGAGGAAUGAAGAAUGGUGAUGUUAUCAGACCAUGAAAAGUAUGGGGCAUGAGAUGCCCUGGAGGUGUCUCUUAACAGUUGCAUGAAAAAACAACAUCCUUUAAAUCCUUUGCGGGGUUUUUAACAAUUUUUAUGAAUAUUUACCAUUUUAUUCCUGAUAAUCUAUUGUUGUUCUUCACAGCUACCUGAACAUCCCUUGUCACAGCAGUUUUAAUGUUGCCAUAUUCUGAACAAAACCACACCAAAAAACACGCUGAACGUAAUGUUCUUCUCUCUUAAACAUGCUUGGAAUUUCACUUCCACGAACACUUUAGAAAUUUCAAUCUCUUAUUACUAUCUCUUAUUUACACUGGCUGAGGGACAGAAACGGAAAUGAAAAAAGACAAAAAUAGAUGGCAUCAUCUUCAGAGCUGCCCCAUGACUCCAGCCUGCACGGAAGGUGGCUGGUAGAGUACAGCAAGCCCAAGCUCCAUAGGUUCCACUCAUAGCUGGGGUGUGAAACCUCCACAGCACAGGGUUCACAAACCUUUCAUGGGGCAGCCAGGCUUUGUAAGAGGGAUGGCUGCACUUUGUCUAAAGCAAGGCUGUUCCUUAAAUGAAGUCAGCUUCAAGCUCCAUCUGGAAACUCCAGAAAAACGGUUCACGGUAGGCGGAAAGACUGAAGUUAGCAUGGCACUAUGGGCCCAGAUGAAACAAGCUGCCCCCAGAGGCAAGAAAGGCCUGGAAGCUUUGAUGUAGCUGGAGCAUAGCUCCUUUGUUUUCUGUUUGUAUAAGGCUCCCCUGGGGAGUUUUUGUUUGGGUUGUUAAAAUCUUUUUAACUCAAAGAGCUGACAGUAAGCACUUGGGAGCAAAAUGGUCUCUUUGAAAGUCUUUUUGCUGCUCAACUGCACUGGCCAGCCCUGCCAAUUUAUAGCUCUGCUUGCUCUCACUGCUCCAAAGGCUGCUUAAGUAAACAAUUAAGUUUUGCUGAUCACUCUGGGCACCAAGGUGGCAAAAUAUGCACUUUCUGCAUAGCCUAGAACAUACUCAGUAAUGUAGCCUAGAAUAUACUCAGAGCAAAAAAGCUUUCUCUCCCUCUUUCUCAUGUCUGGUAUUAGGCAGCUCAAGGUUUCAAGUUUUAGUAGUCAAGGGCAACCUACCUGCAGCAAGGACUGCACUUCUGGUGUGUGAGAGCUCUGGACUGGGAAACAUCAUUAUUAAAGGAGGGUGUUGGUUUACACUUAGUGUUCCUUACGUAAGGCUAUCCCAUUUGAAUACCUGACACAGUCAGUUCUGAUUGCUGAUCAAGGUUGUUGCAUGUUCCCCCCGCACAGGCAGAUUUGGUAAGUACUGCUCAUUAUUUCCAAAACAAACCAGUAUGGACCUUGCCUCCUGCUUGCUGCAUUGGCUGCCUGUCUCCUCCCAUGACCUAAAUGAUGGGCACAAUGACUGCCUCACCACCAGCUGCACUCUGUGCAUUUAAUUCUGAAGCAGCAGAAAAGUCUAAAGGCAGAGAAUAUUGAUGUACUGUUCCUACUUAACACAGCUUCACAGAGUAAGAUUUGGGUUGUAUGUGCAAGCAGAAAACAUUUUGCUUCAAGGUGUGUGCCACAGUGGGAUCAUCAGAACAUAUCUGACUGCACAGAUCAGGAAGCUGUAGUGCUGGGUUUGGAUAAACAAUAUGGAAUUAAGAGAUGGUUCAGAAAGUUUAAUGUGUUAAAAAAAAACAUUGAUCCAUUCUGAAAAGAUCUUUGGGGAAUGAUAAAAGAACCUGCUCUAUCAGAGCCCCUGAUUUUAUAUGGGAAAAUAUCUUAAAAAGAAAGAAAGUAAGGCAGACUUGAGCAAGCUUUUUGUCCACUCUGAAACUCAAUAUCUAGCAAAUUCCAUCGCUUCUAGAUUUUAGACUUAUUUCAGUUGGGCAGAUGUAGAUGUCAUCACUCCAGCCAGGUCUUAUGUCCACACCUUCAAACACUUCCCUGUUCCACUUCACUCAUGUUGCUGUGGGCAGAACACUGAUGGACACAGUGUAAGGACAGAAUAUCUACUUGCUUUGGCACCAGUACCACACUUUUUCCUCUAUGAACAGGAUCACAAAGAAGUGAUUGAGAAUGAACUUCUGUUCCUUAUUUCUUUACAUACAUGCACACAAGGGGCCUUUAAUUUGUCCCUGUGCUCAAGCUCCUGUACAGAUUUGUAAGCACAGUUUACUGCAUUUUGUCUCUUGACAGUUAAAAGAUUUAUUUCCACUGCAGAAGACACUGGGUGAAAAGUCACUAUAUAAAAGUGGUUUGUUUUUUUUUUGGUUUUUUUUUUUUUUUUUUUUUUUUUUUGAGAAAAAAGAAGUGGUUUUGCUUGAUGCAAUUAUUUUAUCCUGCCUUUAUCUACCUAAAAUGGCAGCACUUUGUAGAACAUUUGGAGAAUGCAGGUGUUUUGUGGGAAGUAGUAAUGAAUAAUUCACGAAAGAUUAAAAAUACUUUUUGGGCUUAAUUCAGAAUCUUUUUAUUUCCCCUUAGUUUCCUUCCCUAUUUAUAUUGAAUAUAAACAAGGAACUUGUUCUGAAAUAGAUGAAUGGGAAUGAACUAGAGUGAAAUAAGUUGAAUGAUUCCUAAAGUAAUUUGAUAAAUUCUAGACCCUGUAUUAAUACCUGACUAAAAGUAUUUGCUUAGAUAUUCAGAUCAUCCACUCAGCCACAGCUGCAAGGGAUUUGUAGGUGGUGAAUUAUCUAAGAAUCUGCCCAUUUUUGGUGGCCUGAGACAUUGUUGUUGCCUUGAGCUAUAGCUGAGCCUUUCACUGAGAUUGUGCUCCUCUUUUAUACCGCUUCAAUCAAGUGUUCCUAUUAAACAGGGCUGUGGAGACUAUAUGGAAAUGGGUAGGAAGGUGCAAGAACAGAUAUUACAGUUGGGAAUCAAAUGUUGUUCUGAAUCAUCUGGAAGACUCUUCAGCCACAGUCCUGUAGAUGAGAGGACUGAUGAGAGGAGCACUUACAGUGCAGUUCUUCAGUGUGAAUAUCCUAGAACACCCUUUUUACAGUUGUUUUUAUCAAUUUAUGUGAGCAUUUGGAAGAUUUCAAAAGACUUUACAGAAAGAAGGUAGCAAGAGAACAGGUAAAACACUGCUGCUCCAAAAAGCCCCGACAAGGAGAAUUCCAGUCCAUUCUGAGUCACGUUUACAUGGUAACAAAGUACAGGGUGAGUGAGGAGGAUGUUUGAAGGGGCAUUUCCAAAGUCGUUUCUCCUCUGGUUUUCUGGGGCUAUACCUGCGUCUAACCCAGCAUGCUCUACAGUGAGUUAAGCAGAUACUCCAUCCUUUUCCUUUCUUCUGUUAAAAACAAGUUGUAAUUGGUCACAGUGACUUGGUAUUUUCAUAUAAAGCUGAAAAAAACCCCAACAUUUGGCUUCUACCUUUAGUACUUAUUUCUCUGGUAGUGUGAUCUAAGGAUCAUAACCUUGACUUCAGGUGCCUUUCAACCCCUAGAUUUCAGAAAGGUUUCAAGGUUAAUAUUAUUUUUGCUUGUUUCUUUUUCUCACUACAAAUACGAUGAGCAGAAGGAUGUUGCCAUGGAGACAUUUCAUAAUGUACUUAAAGGCACAUGUUACAUUUAUGUGCCACAGAGUCAUCCUGAUUUAUGUCUGAUAUUAUAAAGAUGUGCAAAAAAUCACCUAAAAAAAAAAAUAAAAAAUACACAGUCUACUAACUUUCUCAAAUGUUUAAAAUUCUUAUUUAAUUUUCAGAUGAAACAAAUUAUUUGGCAGACACUGUUAUCUGGAGACCUACACAUUUACAACCAGAAGGGAGGAUGACAGCUUAUUAGAACUAGUACACAUUGCACUUACAUGAGGUGUCAUCACAACCUGAAGUCCAGCUUUGCAGUAUGCUGGAGACUACAAAUGAAAAUAAGAGAACUCUUGCAAUCCAGUUUUUCCAUGGCUAUGCCAUGUGCUUGUGGUAGACCUGUAUAGAAUUCAAUGCAUUUGUUUCAUGCUUUUUGCCUUCAAAAGAGGCAGAGUUUUUAAUGAACUACUUAAAGUACAGCACCAUCGAGCCUUCUCUCAGGCAAUCAGCAGCCUGGAUGCUAGUGCUGCAUGUUGUUGAAAGCAGCUGAGGUGUUGCUGACCACCUGACUUUCUCCCUAGCUCUGGAAGCUCACCUGCAGGCUAUGUGCCCAGGCACUGCUGGGGCUGCCCUGUCACCUUGAUGUGCUCAAGCACACGAGUACACAGCACAUUCUGCUUUUCCUUGAGUUGGAACUUUCGGGCUCACUGCACCACAUGCGAGGUUGAGAAAAAAUAAAUAUAUCCCUGCAGUAGCCACAGCCUUUUGUUGCCAGGCUCAGGGACUUCCCAAGCUCUAGGAGAACUGCGGUGACUUGUAUAGAAUUUAUGUGGAAGAUGUAUGGUGACCCUCUGUAUCAAACAGAAAAAUAUGUGUCUAUGCACAAAAACACACCAAGUACUGUUGCCUGCAGUUCAUCUCUUACUACCAAAUAUUAAAUGUGUUGCAGACUGAGCAUUUAGUAGCAGUCUUCACCUAACAUAGCUGAGAGCCAAAUGUACAAAGAAAUGACACACAAAUUCUAUUACAUUUCAGAAUAUAUGCAUAUGUCAUUAAGAAAUCUCAACUAUAUUUUGAAAUAUCGUCAGAACAUCCACAGCUUCAGACAUAACUUUUAUCAUGUCUUUUUAGUGACAACUGUGGAGUAGCAAUCAUUUUCACAUGACAUAAGAAAGACAAACCAAUAGCAGGUGUGCAUAAUUGUUUUGUAAAAAACUUGCACAUAAUCCCAGUAAAAUGUCUUGAACAUUUACGAUUAAAAUUUAGCGCCAUGAACUCUGAGAAACAAAGGAGAUUCUCAUUAUACUUUGACAAAGGUCAAGAAUACUAUCUGAUUACAUACAGAGACCACAACAGAAUAGCAACCGCUCCAUAAAAUUAAUUUAAAAACGUAAGGAGUAUGGAAAAAUCAUGGUUUAUAGCUGUACAUGGGAUUUGUUGAGUAAUAUUUUCAGGUCCAAACACUUUUAGACCUUUCUGGUUAUUUGCAGCAUAGGUUUGGUCUGAAUACAUUCAAUCAUACAGUGCUGCAGCUAAAACACCAGCAGGAUGGACCACUUUUUUUGAAAGUAAGAGGAAAAUAUUUUUAAAACACCAACUGAACACACAGCUGCUGGUUAAAAAGAAGAACCAAAUAUGAAUAAAUAAAUAAAUUUCAAAAAGUAAGAAGUGACAAUAAUGGCCACACAGAAGAAAACUCACUUAGCAUGAUAGAAGUUUGCAAACAUUCAGAACUUUGUAUUUCCCUAGAAACAUAUGUAAGCCGUAACAGCUCACUCCUAGCUAUGUUUGAAGUAUUAAACCAAAGCCACUUUGGAGCUAGAACAGAAAUGAUUAAAAUGGAUCUUCAAAGGUGCACUUGUGAUAAAUUUCAUCUCAGGCUGUGAGUCUCAAGUAGGGUUGCAGUAAUUUUUCUCAAAAUUUGCAGUGAGAACCUUUAGAAAGGGACUCUUCCAUACAGCACAGAGCAGCAGUUCUGCAGUUUGAGGAUUGGCUGAAGAGUCCACAUGGUACCAGGACACUGUCAGGCCAAGUGUACAGUCGGGGCAGUGCACAGCUGUCCUUGCAGCCAGCCCAAGGGUAUGAACGGGGUGCCAGUGACAAAAUGCCUUUUACUCUCCUUUACAAAUUGCCCUCAAAUUAUACCCUCUGAGUUCUGACUGCUGAAACCACUGAGGUCAACAGUCAAAUUGAAUUACAGCUUAGGAUUUAAACAGGCUGUAAUUUCAGUCUUCUAUUUCCAUCUUCCUACAUAAUCCUCUACAUGUACUUGACAAUGUGCCUUUGUCAAAAUGACCGAGGGCUCAGCUCCUCAGGAAGAGAAGGCAGGAGAAAACCCCUCAGCCUGCUGCACUGCUGGGCCCUGUGUUCCUCUCCUGCUCCCCCAGAGGACAGUGCUGUGAAACCCUGCCCUCCUGCUCCCUGCAACUGGUACUCCUGUCUCUUUCUCCUCUGUUGUGCAGGUACAGCAGAUGUAUACAAUGAUGUGAAGACAAGAAAUAGCCCAAUGACAAUUAGAAGAGCAAGAAGGAAUAUGUAUUCAGCAUUGUAAAAUGUCAACUGUAUUUUAAGAUUGCUGUUGCUUAAAAACUAAUAGCUUAAAAAUAGACUACUGAAAUAAGUACAGAUGUGCAUGCAUUUGAACACAUACAGGAACAGACACAAAAGAGAAACAGGUUACUUACAAGGAAUUAAACCACUCCAUCUAAUGCUUACAUUUUCAGCUGCAUAUUCUAAAUUGAAAGCACGAGACACAGUGCGUUAUAUGUGGUAUUUAUACAUAUAAUAUAUUAUGCACAUUAUAUAUAUAUAUUUAUAUAUAUAUUUAUUACUCCCUGUUCCCACCGUGACAUACACGUGUUUUUCUACUCAUAAUUUCUACACAUAUGCACUACAUAUGUACCCUAUUUUAUUCCAUUUUACAAGUAAAGGAGAAGAUCAUCAGCAAGCCACUUCCCUCACAAAUGCAACAUCAAAGACAAAAACACUGCAGUCUCAGCAGCCAUUCGUCUUGUGCGUUAUUCAGCAGGAAUGGCAAUCUUUUUCAAUACUACCUUUUCCUUCUUUUUUUACACCGUGUUUUUGCAAUUUCCAAGUGCUUUAGCAAGUGGGAUUGCUGCACGGGUUUGGGCACAGGCUGCAUCCUGCAUGGUGCAGUGUGUUGCCAUGGUGAUGUGAUGUGUGGUUGCCAUGGGGAUGGAGGCAGCGGCUUGGCCCUAGUCUGGCUGACACCUGGGGCAGGGAUGUGCAUGCAGAGGGUACCUGGCAGUAGAUGGGCUUCUUCAUGGUGUGCCAGGGAUUCUGCUGAAAAUUAAGUAGGUUCUUUGUCUGAAAUGAAUUGUGUGCUAGUCUGUACUGCAGGAGCAAUGUAGUUCUGAUUGCAGGGAGAUGGGAGGUAUGAAGAGAUUAAUUGACUCAAAGUCAUGUGAGGAUUCAACACCAGUGCAGAUUUCUGCACUGCAAGGCUUUCCCAAUUCUACUGUAUUGACUGAAAGCAGAAUUACAAUGAAAGGCUCCAAAAAGAACUGGGGCAGUGAGCAAAACCCAUCUUGAAAAGCAUGUUGAAAGGCAACAGCACCAACAUGCAGGUCACACUGCAGCAAGACUUUGAAACAAAAAGGCUGUGGCACGUCGUCUACCACUCUCUAUGGAAGAACUAAUCGGUGAGGCAGCAAUGCUGGCUCAGAGAUUGCCUCUCAAAGUAUACAGUUUCAUUCAGCACACUAAAUAUUUGGGAGCUUCAAGAAAAUUCAUCUCACCAGAGUAGCUUCACAGAGAAUCACAUGAUGCUUUCCUUGCCCUCCGGUUUCUCUUCUGAGAAUAGUUUCAUUUAUUCCACUAACUUUUAGUGGAUACUAAACAAUGGGUGCAUGGUCAACUCUUACAGAAGACAUCACUAAACUAAAUGCAAAGAGCCUUUUAAAUGGUCAGGAUUCCUAAUUGCUCUGACAACACUUCUCCUGGUAUUAGGAUAAGUAAUAACAACAAAUUGAAAAUGAUUUUGAGCAGAGAAAGGAAAGAGAUAACUGCUCCAAAAGACACAGAUAAUGAAAACUGCACUAACAGCCAGUGUUUCAGCAGCCUCUUCUUGUGAAAAAUGUUGUUACAUAAUUUUUCUUUCUUAUCCAAACAGAUGGAUUCAAGUAAGAAUCUGCAUUAGCUGACAAUAAUCAAUAUUCAGGUCUCCAGCCUCCAUUACAGGUGCUCCAAAGUACAGUGGGUUAGAUAACAACUCUUCCUAAGAGUUACAAAGAAAUUCCAUGUUAACACUGCGAGUCAUUAUCAAACCAGCAUCUUGUCAGCCUUCCCACAAACACCACCAAAGCCAUGCUAAGUACUGGCACAUCUGCACUCCGUUGGAGAAGCAUUAGAGAUGUUUUAAUCCUCACAAACACCUUCCCCAGUGGAAUUUCUGGAACCUUCAUCCUAUUUUUAUCACUUCACUUUGAAUGCAAACUGUUCACUAGAUGGUUUCCAAAGAACACAGAAAAGACUGUCCCUGCUUGAGAAGCUUGUAACUGAAGAAUCACUUCAUCUGCUUUAGAGAAAUUAUCACUACAGAGUUUAUAAACAACUUCUUUUUAAUGUAAGCCAAUAUAAAUUAAGAAUCAAAUUAAUUUCCUGUAAUUAGAAAGCACAGCACUACCACUGUCUGUGUUUCUAAAGUUGGAACACUGUCCUUUUAGUAUCUCUUAUUUUGGCUUUGACAAUACAGUGCAGCUCUUGGAGCAGUACUGCAGAUGUCCUUUGUGCAGGGACCCACCCUCAAACUCUUGCACUGCCUUUGGCAAUCAACUGUGAAAUAAAUACAUACAUAUGACUCAGUAUUGUAACUGUGACUAGCGUGCUAACCUCACUCAUUCGUUCUGUCUAUCGUAGUUAUUUCUAGGGCACCACACUAUCUGAAUGCCAAAAAUUGUCCUUGCCAGGAGCCGAACCCACACAGGCUCAGUUUCUGAAGGAGUGCAAUUUCUGGGACCAGAAAACCACUUCCGUUUAGGGAGCAGACAAUUACUGUAAAUGGAAUGGUAACCUGCAUGGUAGCUCCCAGCUUGAGGUGGGCUCAACCCAAAAUUCAGUUGCAGUAUUAAGGUUCUUAUCCACGUUUUUCAUUUUUUCCUCCCACAACCACAACUCAUUUUUCCAUUUUUGUAUCAAAGAUAAGAUCCAAAAUAGCAUGAAAUACAUUUUUUCUGGUAGAACUAAAAUCAAUACAGUAAAUAUGAGGGAUGGUGGGCUCCAACUUUAUAUUUUACAUUUAUAUUGAGUCAUUUUCUUGACAGGUUGUGUUACUUUGAGUAUAGCAGACACAGGAAAACAAAAACCAUGCUUAGCAAUAAAAAUAAUCGGUACUUUAUAUAAAAUAUUCCCCCAACUUCUACUGUGUUCCUGUUUUAAAGAUAAUGGAAAAGAGGGAUGGAAAAUGGGCAGAGGCUGUACUCUUAUAAUUUAAGUAUGCUCUAAAAACCACUAUGUGUGUGUCACUGCAAAGCAAGAUGACUUGGCUUCACAGACCUUGUCCACUCAUAGAUGACUUUUUUAUUGCAGGAUUAAUAUAUUAAAGUUUUUAUGCAUUAUACCAUUACUGGAUAAAGGACACUUGUAGCAGGGGAGCAUCUAUUUGCUUUCCAGCAGAAAUAAAUUGUGUUUUGGGCAUUUUUCCUGCUGGGUUCACUGUUCAGUCAAUCUGUAGUACAUGAACACCUUUGUAGCUUAUGCAGAAGUUAGCACUGUUCUAAUUUUCACAUCUAACAAUCAUUAAGGAGGAAAUUUUAUACAAAAACCUGGCAUUUCAUAUAUCCAGUGUAGCAGUGUCUCUGCUAUAUGUAUGGUGUGACUAUUUUAAAAAUAAAAAUAUGCAUUCUAAGAUAGACUGGAGGACAGCUAGUAAUUUUAUUCACAAUUUAAACACAGUGAGCAACUCUGAAUAUCUGUCUUGUCUGGAGGCUUUUUCUUUAGCCAGCAGAGAGUCCUUAAAGCUUUUAUUUAGGACACAUAGGCUGCAGUUCUAGAAUGAUGGCUUUGAAACCACCAUAUAAAUUUUUACCUGAGUCACAUGCUCAUCUCAUUAUUUUUUUAGCCCUCCACAUAAAGUUCACAUGGCACUGUUACAAUCAAGUGGCAGCAACAGAAAUAUUAUGAGAUCACAGCUCUUAUAUUUUGAUAGAAUUUUUGAGAUUGAUUAUGGCAAUUUUUACUUAAAAAUGCAACGAAAUAGACUAUGGAAUCGCAAUCCAAUUUAACAGCUAAUAGUCAGUCACAUGCAAAUGUAAGAGGAAAAAUCUAAGAGAUUUUCUAUAUGCAUCAUAGUAUAAUGCCUGAUAACAAUCUGAAAUUAACUUUACUUGAUAAUGAGGAAUGCUAUGUUAUCAAAUGCACACUACUGCAUUGCUCGUGCACCGAUCCAGCACCUGUGUAUGGCACUGUGUCUGCCUAGAGUGUCAGGCAGAAGAAGGUCAGGGCCCGCACUGCACAGCUUCAGGAAAGCCUACCCAUAAACACAGCUCACCAGUGCACAGGUUGUUCUUUAUGAAAGUUGGCAUAAAAUCAAGUGCCAAAAAAACUAAUGGGGUUACUUGUGCUGAUUUCAGUGGGCUUUUCUGUAUGUCCCAUAAGGUUAACUGGAAUUGGCACAAAUAUAUUUUACCUUCUUUUUUUUUACCAUUCUAAUUUUUCUACCUUGAAUUGCUGUCUUUUUUAAUUAUAUGCUAUCAAACCCUUAGAAUUAAGCGUAAUGCUGUCCAAUAAUGUUGACAAAAAAAAAAAAAAAAAAACAAACCAAAAAAAAAAACCCAACUAAAAAAAAUAAAAUUAGAAAGAGUAACUGAAGUUAAAAGAGGCAGUUAAAAGUUAAUGGGCGAGCGUUCUUCAGGAGGGGCACUGAUGCCAUGUGGACCUGAGCUCAUGCCAGGGCCAUCCCUGAUGUGUGACCCCAGCUGGCACAACAGGAGAGACUGAAAGGGACAGCACUAAAUCCCGUCACUCUGCACUGACAUUCAAGUACAUCACGUGUUUAUAAAGGUCUGGAUGCUGAUCAUGGAAAUAUAAUAAACAAAUGUCACUGUUAUAUCAAACACUGUACAAAGCAGCUUCAAACCCUCUUAUUACAAGAAUGAGUGAAAUUUCCUUGUAUUCUUAAAAUAGUGUAAGAUAUUUUAUUGAAUUUUACUUUGCUAUGAUCAAUAAUGUAAAAUAUAUGGGUUUAAAAACUACUUAAGAUUUUUCAUAGGUGCAUACACCAAGAUUACCUGGAUACUCCAGGAGAAGCAGUUAAGUGAUAUCAGACAAUGAUCCCACCCACAUUUUUAGGGAAACCUACUGUUCAGAUGCAGUUGCUCAUGAAAAUAUUCAAUUUCUAAAGAGGCUGAAUAGACAGUGGAAUGAAAAUCAACAGGACACAAUUACAGCAUUAAAGAAUAUACAUUAUGCACCAGGUCCAAUUCUCUUAACCAUGAUUAUAAAGCAAUCUGUAAAAUAAUGAGUAGUAAAGCAGCCAAUAUUUUUUCCAUCAAGGAAGCAGUUGCUCCAUGUGGUUCUGAGUCCUUUCAGCACUUCUGCUCUAUAUGUUUAAAAAUUCAUUUUUAAAAACUGUGCAGCUUCUUCUGUUCUUCGGCAAUGAAGACUGCAUGAUGAGGACAAUCACUGCUGAUGGAACAGUCUCAGCUAUGACUUCAGCUCUUACUUCAUAAAUAGAAAUUUGCCAAGGUUAUUCUCUACUUGCAUGUCCAUUACAAAAAUGCAAACAAGACAGUCAUUUGACUUUCUAGAAUUAUACUAUCAAUUUGCCUAAAUUCAGAAUAACUGUAGCAGACACUUUAAUUACUGAUAAACUUGAAUCCGAAAGAACACAAUGCAGGGAGUCAAGGAAAGACGGUCAAGAUCAUCUAAGAUGGUCAGAGAAGGGUAGAAAGGAAGAUUACGAUGCAAGUGUUACUGGGAGGGAAAAGAGAAAUCCAACAACACUGCUAAGAAAGAUGCUUUCAGAGUUGAAUACAAAUAAGGAGAAAUUAGCAACAAUUGCAUUAAUUUGCAUUACUUCAGAGAAUACUAAUUAUGUCACUUUAAAAGCAGUUUUAAAUUUUAUUUUAUUUUUUUUCAGAGGACCCAUAGUCUUCAUCAUUAGUUAUUCUAGUUGAUAUUAGGUUGAUUUAUACACAACAAAUGACAUAACUGAGUAAAGGGGGAAAAAAAAAAA